AACGCACAUUGCGCCCAUUAGUAUUCUAGUGGGCAUGCCUGUUCGAGCGUCAUUUCGACCAUUAAGCCCCUGUUGCUUAGCGUUGGGAGCCUGCUGGCCUGGCCUGCAGCUCCUCAAAGUUAGUGGCGGAGUUAGUGUAUACUCUAGGCGUAGUAAUUUUAUCUCGCUUCUGUGGUUACGCUGGCGCCUGCCGUAAAGCACCCAACUUUUAAUAGGUUUGACCUCGGAUCAGGUAGGAAUACCCGCUGAACUUAA
rnacentral:misc_RNA from 1 species